CCUACAGAAGACCAGUCAUACAACCGUUCCAACGACUCCGAAGCUGUUCAGUUAAGGUACAUUAAGCUAAAAUAACUGCAUAGUUUCCCUUUAAAAUGUUUAAUUUUACGUUUAUGUUGUGCAAGUUUGAUGUGAUUUCUCAAAGAAAUGAAUUUUGAUCCGAGCUGAAUGUGCAAACGCUAGAAGCAUGCCCCUUUAAAAACAUCAGAUUUACUUUCUCUAUAAAAAUCUCUAUUAAGUCAC